CCUCCGGUGAGCAGCAGUGAGGAAUAUUGGUCAAUGGACGAGAGUCUGAACCAGCCAAGUAGCGUGAAGGAUGACUGCCCUAUGGGUUGUAAACUUCUUUUAUAAAGGGAUAAAACGAGUCACGUGUGCCUUUUUGCAUGUACUUUAUGAAUAAGGAUCGGCUAAAUCCGUGCCAGCAGCCGCGGUAAUACGGAGGAUCCGAGCGUUAUCCGGAUUUAUUGGGUUUAAAGGGAGCGUAGAUGGGUUGUUAAGCCUGUUGUGAAAGUUCGCGGCUCAACCGUAAAAUUGCGAUUGAUACUGGCAGUCUUGAGUACAGUUGAGGUAGGCGGAAUUCGUGGUGUAGCGGUGAAAUGCUUAGAUAUCACGAAGAACCCCGAUUGCGAAGGCAGCUUACGAAACUGUGACUGACAUUGAUGCUCGAAGGUGUGGGUAUCGAACAGGAUUAGAUACCCUUGUAGUC
rnacentral:rRNA from 1 species